CUAAUACUCACUCCGUCUCAAAAUUCUUGUUUUAGAUUUGUCUAGAUAUGAUUGUAUCUAGUUACGUUUUAGUAUUUUGAUACAUCCAUUUUCAUAUAAACCUAAGAUAAUUUUUUUGAAACGAAGAGAGUACAAG
rfam:Hordeum vulgare subsp. vulgare, WGS project CAJW01000000 data, contig: morex_contig_46120